GCGAGGGUAGCUCAGCUGGAUAGAGCACCGGUUUUCUAAACCGGUCGUCGGGAGUUCGAGUCUCCCCCCUCGCGCCA
rnacentral:tRNA from 1 species